ACGGCUCAGUAACACGUGGACAAUUUACCCUUGGGACCGGGAUAACCCCUGGGAAACUGGGGCUAAUACUGGAUAGAGCAUCGGCUGCUGGAAUGCGCGAUGUUCGAAAGCUGAGGCGCCCAAGGAUAGGUCUGCGGCUGAUUAGGUUGUUGUUGAUGUAACGGAUCAACAAGCCCGCGAUCGGUACGGGUUGUGAGAGCAAUAGCCCGGAGAUGGGUUCUGAGAAAAGAACCCAGGUCCUACGGGACGCAUCAGGCGCGAAAACUUUACAAUGUGCGAAAGCGCGAUAAGGGAACUCUGAGUGCCUCCUAAGGAGGCUGUUCAGGUGUCUAAAAAGCAUCUGGAGUAAGGGCUGGGCAAGACCGGUGCCAGCCGCCGCGGUAACACCGGCAGCUCAAGUGGUAGCCAUGCUUAUUGGGUCUAAAGCGUCCGUAGCCGGCUGAGUAAGUUCCUUGGGAAAUUUGACCGCUUAACGGUUAAGCUAUCAGGGAAUACUGCUUGGCUUGGGACCGGGAGAGGUCAGAGGUACUCCAGGGGUAGGGGUGAAAUCUAUUAAUCCUUGGGGGACCACCGGUAGCGAAGGCGUCUGACCAGACCGGGUCCGACGGUGAGGGACGAAGGCUGGGGUCGCGAACCGGAUUAGAUACCCGGGUAGUCCCAGCUGUAAACGAUGCGGGCCAGGUGUUGGCAUUACUGCGAGUGAUGUCAGUGCCAAAGGGAAGCCGUUAAGCCCGCCAUCUGGGGAGUACGGUCGCAAGGCUGAAACUUAAAGAAAUUGGCGGGGGAGCACCACAACGGGUGGAGCCUGCGGUUCAAUUGGAUUCAACGCCGGG
rnacentral:rRNA from 1 species